UAGUACUUGCUGUAGAGGUCUGAGUCU
rnacentral:sRNA from 1 species